AACGAACGCUGGCGGCAGGCUUGACACAUGCAAGUCGAACGCUCGUAGCAAUACGGGGAGUGGCGGGACGGGGUGAGUAACGCGUGGGAACGUGCCCUGAGGUACGGAAUAACUGAGGGAAACUUCAGCUAAUACCGUAUGAGCCCCGAGAGGGGGAAAAGAUUUUAUCGCCCUUGGGGAGCGGCCCGCGCCGGGAUUAGCUAGUUGGUGGGGUAACGGCCUACCAAGGCUUCGAUCCGUAGCUGGUCUGAGAGGGACCGAUCAGCCACACUGGGACUGAGACACGGCCCAGACUCCUACGGGAGGCAGCAGUGGGGAAUCUUGCGCAAUGGGGGCAACCCUGACGCAGCCAUG
rnacentral:rRNA from 1 species